rnacentral:snoRNA from 1 species
UAUAAUGAUGAGUCUUCAAACACUUUUAUGCUAGAUAGUAUCUGAGAGCUAUUUGCUUAGUGAUUGCGGUGUUAAUGAACAAUGGGAAUCUCUCUGAUA